rnacentral:rRNA from 1 species
AGUAAUGCCUAGGAAUCUGCCUGGUACUGGGGGAUAACGUUCGGAAACGGACGCUAAUACCGCAUACGUCCUACGGGAGAAAGCAGGGGACCUUCGGGCCUUGCGCUAUCAGAUGAGCCUAGGUCGGAUUAGCUUGUUGGUGAGGUAAUGGCUCACCAAGGCAACGAUCCGUAACUGGUCUGAGAGGAUGAUCAGUCACACUGGAACUGAGACACGGUCCAGACUCCUACGGGAGGCAGCAGUGGGGAAUAUUGGACAAUGGGGGAAACCCUGAUCCAGCCAUGCCGCGUGUGUGAAGAAGGUCUUAGGAUUGUAAAGCACUUUAAGUUGGGAGGAAGGGUUAUAGCCUAAUACGCUGUAACUUUGACGUUACCGACAGAAUAAGCACCGGCUAACUCUG